GCAAGAAUCACAAUCUUAUUUAAACGGUAGUGAUAACCCCACAUGAUUUCACUAUAGGAUUUAGCUGCCCAGGAUGAGAACUCCUGUCCUGGGUAGUAUGCCU
rnacentral:sRNA from 12 species